rnacentral:rRNA from 1 species
UGGGGAAUCUUGCGCAAUGGGCGAAAGCCUGACGCAGCCAUGCCGCGUGAAUGAUGAAGGUCUUAGGAUUGUAAAAUUCUUUCACCGGGGACGAUAAUGACGGUACCCGGAGAAGAAGCCCCGGCUAACUUCGUGCCAGCAGCCGCGGUAAUACGAAGGGGGCUAGCGUUGCUCGGAAUUACUGGGCGUAAAGGGAGCGUAGGCGGACAUUUAAGUCAGAGGUAAAAUCCCGGGGCUCAACCUCGGAAUUGCCUUUGAUACUGGGUGUCUUGAGUGUGAGAGAGGUAUGUGGAACUCCGAGUGUAGAGGUGAAAUUCGUAGAUAUUCGGAAGAACACCAGUGGCGAAGGCGACAUACUGGCUCAUUACUGACGCUGAGGCUCGAAAGCGUGGGGAGCAAACAGGAUUAGAUACCCUGGUAGUCCACGCCGUAAACGGUGAUUGCUAAUUGUCGGGAUGCAUGCAUUUCGGUGACGCAGCUAACGCAUUAAGCAAUCCGCCUGGAGAGUACGGUCGCAAGAUUA